UAUAUCAAUACACCAGUGGCUGAAAUUAUCAUGAAACCAAAUGUUGGACAAGGCAGCACAAGUGUGCAAACAGCUAUGGAAAGUGAACUCGGAGAGUCUAGUGCCACAAUCAAUAAAAGACUCUGCAAAAGUACAAUAGAACUUUCAGAAAAUUCUUUACUUCCAGCUUCUUCUAUGUUGACUGGCACACAAAGUAAGGCUGUUGCUUUCAAUGCAUGCAAUAUUAACUUUUAGUGUUUACUAACUCUGUGUUUUGCUUACCUGGCUUUUCUUCCUUGAAGUUGCUUAAUUUUUUUUCCUCCAAGAGGAAUUAUUUAAAAAGACUUUUGUCUGUGACAUAACCAAGAUUUAUUCUGUUUACCUAAGGAACUUAUUUUCUUUUUUGCAAUUUCAUUUAUUCUGAGUCACUUUAUUUGUAAUAAGUGAAGAAUUUUAAUACUUAGAAAUAAGUUGUAAAGAAAAUAAUGAGAAUCUUACCAUGCUUUAGAGGAACGUAAUUUCUAGAAAUAGUUAAAAGAUGAAAUACUAAGAUAUUAUUUUACCUUCUUUAUAUAGCUGUAUAUACUGGUAGUAUGAAAGCAACUAGUGUCAUUGAUGAUUUUUUGGGGGGGUAUUUUUGUAUUCUAGGCUUGCUGCAACCUCAUUUAGAGAGGGUUGCCAUCGAUGCUCUACAGUUAUGUUGUUUGUUACUUCCCCCACCAAAUCGUAGAAAGCUUCAACUUUUAAUGCGUAUGAUUUCCCGAAUGAGUCAAAAUGUUGAUAUGCCCGAACUUCAUGAUGCAAUGGGUACGAGGUCACUGAUGAUACAUACCUUUUCUCGAUGUGUGUUAUGCUGUGCUGAAGAAGUGGAUCUUGAUGAGCUUCUUGCUGGAAGAUUAGUUUCUUUCUUAAUGGAUCAUCAUCAGGAAAUUCUUCAAGUACCCUCUUACUUACAGACUGCAGUGGAAAAACAUCUUGACUACUUAAAAAAGGGACAUAUUGAAAAUCCUGGAGAUGGACUAUUUGCUCCUUUGCCAACUUACUCAUACUGUAAGCAGAUUAGUGCUCAGGAGUUUGAUGAGCAAAAAGUUUCUACCUCUCAAGCUGCAAUUGCAGAACUUUUAGAAAAUAUUAUUAAAAACAGGAGUUUACCUCUAAAGGAGAAAAGAAAAAAACUAAAACAGUUUCAGAAGGAAUAUCCUUUGAUAUAUCAGAAAAGAUUUCCAACCACGGAGAGUGAAGCAGCACUUUUUGGUGACAAACCUACAAUCAAGCAACCAAUGCUGAUUUUAAGAAAACCAAAGUUCCGUAGUCUAAGAUACUAACUGAAUUAAAAAUUAUGUAAUACUUGUGGAACUUUGAUAAAUGAAGCCAUAUCUGAGAAUGUAGCUACUCAAAAGGAAGUCUGUCAUUAAUAAGGUAUUUCUAAAUAAACACAUUAUGUAAGGAAGUGCCAAAAUAGUUAUCAAUGUGAGACUCUUAGGAAACUAACUAGAUCUCAAUUGAGAGCACAUAACAAUAGAUGAUACCAAAUACUUUUUGUUUUUAACACAGCUAUCCAGUAAGGCUAUCAUGAUGUGUGCUAAAAUUUUAUUUACUUGAAUUUUGAAAACUGAGCUGUGUUAGGGAUUAAACUAUAAUUCUGUUUUUAAAAGAAAAUUUAUCUGCAAAUGUGCAAGUUCUGAGAUAUUAGCUAAUGAAUUAGUUGUUUGGGGUUACUUCUUUGUUUCUAAGUAUAAGAAUGUGAAGAAUAUUUGAAAACUCAAUGAAAUAAUUCUCAGCUGCCAAAUGUUGCACUCUUUUAUAUAUUCUUUUUCCACUUUUGAUCUAUUUAUAUAUAUGUAUGUGUUUUUAAAAUAUGUGUGUAUUUUAUCAGAUUUGGUUUUGCCUUAAAUAUUAUCCCCAACUGCUUCAGUCAUUCAUUUGUUCAGUAUAUAUAUUUUGAAUUCUAGUUUUCAUAAUCUAUUAGAAGAUGGGGAUAUAAAAGAAGUAUAAGGCAAUCAUAUAUUCAUUCAAAAGAUAUUUAUUUAGCAACUGCUAUGUGCCUUUCAUUGUUCCAGAUAUGCGGAGACAAUGAUAAAUAAAACAUAUAAUCUCUUCCAUAAGGUAUUUAUUUUUUAAUCAAGGGAGAUACACCUAUCAGAUGUUUAAAAUAACAACACUACCCACUGAAAUCAGGGCAUAUAGAAUCAUUCAGCUAAAGAGUGACUUCUAUGAUGAUGGAACAGGUCUCUAAGCUAGUGGUUUUCAAACUGGUGCACAUUAGACUCACCCGAGGAAUUUUGAAACAGCCUGUAUGCCCAGGGCCUAACUUACACUAAUUAAAUCUGAAUUUGGGGGAUGUUGUAUAGGGAUUAGUAUUUUUUUUAAUCUAGGUGAUUCCAAUAUUCAGCCAACUGUGAGAAUCAAUGGCCUAAAUGCUUUUUAUAAACAUUUUUAUAAGUGUCAAGAUAAUGGCACAUUGACUUUUUUUUUUCAUUGGAAGAAAAUGCCUGCCAAGUAUAAAUGACUCUCAUCUUAAAACAAGGUUCUUCAGGUUUCUGCUUGAUUAACUUGGUACAAACUUGAAGCAAGUUGCCUUCUAAUUUUUACUCCAAGAUUGUUUCAUAUCUAUUCCUUAAGUGUAAAGAAAUAUAUAAUGCAUGGUUUGUAAUAAAAUCUUAAUGUUUAAUGACUGUU
rnacentral:sRNA from 1 species